CUCAGAGAUAUACACUCAGAGUAACAUCAAAAACCUUAUAUUCACCUGAGUAUGUACUCAAAACAAAAAAAUAUCCCUCAGAGAUGUUGCUCUGACAAUAUUUUGACAGUAAAAAUGAGACAUACCGACUGUGUUUUGCAAUGUGAAUAAGUCAACCCCAUACGAUCUUAAUUUUGAUUAGUGAUCUGUUUCAGUCAGUGUAGAUGAUAAUUUUUACAUGGCCAUACGACAGUACUUCUCUUGCGACAGUAAAUCCUAGUUCAUAUCUUACUAUAUACAGAAUUAUCUCGAAUAGGAUCAAAUUGUCACCCUUCAAGGGUAUUGUUUCGUACGCACUCGAAGUAUAAGCCAUCAGGAAGUGCCUAUUCCUACUUUAUAUAUAAAGAGUUUCCAACGCAGUUUUGAGGUUUUCAUGAAUAUAUCAGGAAUUUGCAUAACAAAAACAAAUAAACGUAAUGUACUUUUGAGGUUUCGCCGUGUAAUGGCGGUUUCCUACAAACGUUUGCGCGAGCGACGCUUCCAGAUCAGAUUACGGCCGUUGAUGAAAGGGCUUAUUAAGCCAACAAAUUACGGCCUCUUUGCUACAUUUUAUUGUGCCCGCGAAGGCGGUCAAAAUGUUUUGCCGAUAAUGUUGUAAAACUCCGUGUUAAAUAGCCGAAUACCUUGCCGUAAUUUAUGUUGAUGUCAGCGAGGUGG